AUUGAACGCUGGCGGCAGGCCUAACACAUGCAAGUCGAACGAGUGGCGGACGGGUGAGUAAUGUCUGGGAAACUGCCCGAUGGAGGGGGAUACCUACUGGAAACGGUAGCUACUACCGCAUCCAGUCGGAUGCGCCCAGAUGGGAUUAGCUUGUAGGUGGGGUAACGGCUCACCUAGGCGACGAUCCCUAGCUGGUCUGAGAGGAUGACCAGCCACACGGGAACUAAGACACGGUCCAGACUCCUACGGGAGGCAGCAUGGGGGAAUAUUGCACAAUGGGCACAAGCCUGAAGCAGCCAUGGCGCGUGUAUGAAGAAGGCCUUCGGGUUGUAAAGUACUUUCAGCGAGGGGGCGUUAAUCGCAGAAGAAGCACCGGCUAACUCCGUGCCAGCAGCCGCGGUAAUAC
rnacentral:rRNA from 1 species